UACGUAGGGGGCAAGCGUUGUCCGGAUUUAUUGGGCGUAAAGCGCGUGUAGGCGGCUUCGUAAGUCCGUUGUGAAAGUCCAGGGCUCAACCCUGGAAUGCCGAUGGAUACUGCGGAGCUAGAGUCCGGAAGAGGCGAGUGGAAUUCCUGGUGUAGCGGUGAAAUGCGCAGAUAUCAGGAGGAACACCAAUGGCGAAGGCAGCUCGCUGGGACGGUACUGACGCUGAGACGCGAAAGCGUGGGGAGCAAACAGG
rnacentral:rRNA from 1 species